rnacentral:rRNA from 1 species
GAUGAACGCUGGCGGCGUGCCUAAUACAUGCAAGUCGAGCGGAAACAGGGGAGCUUGCUCCCGCUGUCGAGCGGCGGACGGCUGAGUAACGCGUAGGAACAUACCCCAAAGUGAGGGAUAAGCAUUGGAAACAGUGUCUAAUACCGCAUGUGAUCUAAGGAUUAAAGCUUUAUGCGCUUUGGGAAUGGCCUGCGUAAGAUUAGCUUGUUGGUGAGGUAAUGGCUCACCAAGGCGACGAUCUUUAGCUGGUCUGAGAGGAUGAUCAGCCAGACUGGAACUGAGACACGGUCCAGACUCCUACGGGAGGCAGCAGUAGGGAAUUUUCCACAAUGGGCGAAAGCCUGAUGGAGCAACGCCGCGUGCAGGAUGAAUGCCUUCGGGUUGUAAACUGCUUUUAUAUGUGACGAAUAUGACGGUAGCAUAUGAAUAAGGAUCGGCUAACUCCGUGCCAGCCGCCGCAGUAAUAC